GACGAACGCUGGCGGCGUGCCUAACACAUGCAAGUCGAGCGAUGAAGUUUCCUUCGGGAAACGGAUUAGCGGCGGACGGGUGAGUAACACGUGGGUAACCUGCCUCAUAGAGGGGAAUAGCCUCCCGAAAGGGCGAUUAAUACCGCAUAAUAUUACAGUUUUGCAUGAAACAGAAAUUAAAGGAGCAACGCCCUAUGAGAUGGACCCGCGGCGCAUUAGCGAGUUGGUGAGGUAACGGCUCACCAAGGCGACGAUGCGUAGCCGACCUGAGAGGGUGAUCGGCCACAUUGGGACUGAGACACGGCCCAGACUCCUACGGGAGGCAGCAGUGGGGAAUAUUGCACAAUGGGGGAAACCCUGAUGCAGCAACGCCGCGUGAGUGAUGACGGUCUUCGGAUUGUAAAGCUCUGUCUUUGGGGACGAUAAUGACGGUACCCAAGGAGGAAGCCACGGCUAACUACGUGCCAGCCGCCGCAGUAACAC
rnacentral:rRNA from 1 species